UUCCAGCUCCAAUAGCGUAUAUUAAAGUUGUUGCGGUUAAAAAGCUCGUAGUCGAAUCUGUGUCCCGCGCCGCCGGUUCAUCGUUCGCGGUGUUAACUGGCGUGCCGCGGGACGUCCUGCCGGUGGGCUUAGUCCGCAAGGACGGCCCAACUCAAUCCCGCCGCGGUGCUCUUCACUGAGUGUCGAGGUGGGCCGGCACGUUUACUUUGAACAAAUUAGAGUGCUUAAAGCAGGCUAAAACUUCGCCUGAAUACUGUGUGCAUGGAAUAAUGGAAUAGGACCUCGGUUCUAUUUUGUUGGUUUUCGGAACCCCGAGGUAAUGAUUAAUAGGAACGGAUGG
rnacentral:rRNA from 1 species